UGAUGCAUGUUGCAGCUGCUAGAUAUGAUAUGGAUCGGUUUGGGCUUAUUUUCAGGCCCAGCCCAAGACAAUCUGAUGUCAUGGUUGUGGCUGGGACUCUAACCAAUAAGAUGGCUCCAGCUUUGAGGAGGUAUGCAUACAAACCAUUGGAUUUGAUAUAUCAUGGACUGAAAAUAUAGGCAAAUGAAUUUCAUUAUGAAAAAAUUAUAUAAAUAUUUUGAUUUGUGUGAAUCGAAUUUAUUUAAAAAAUUUCUUAAACUAUAAUUAAUUCUUAGGUAGAAUAAUUAUAUCUAAAUUUAUUUAAAAUUUUAUUCUUUUGCAUUUUUCACAACCUAUUUUUAUCUUAUAUUAAAAGGUAAUUAUAUUAUUAUAAUUAGAACUUUUGCUUUUGAGUAAUUUUUCAUGGACACUUCUCUUGUUUAUAUAAAAUUAUGGAAUUUUAUAAAAGUUGAAUGGUAAAUGUAAUUCAACUCAUAAUUACAUUAAUUUUUAAAAUUUUAAAUUAAAUUAUAAAAUAGUGAAAAAUUUAAAACUUUUUUAUUAAUGAUAUUUAUUUAUGUAAUAUAUAAGUAUAAUAAAAUAAUCUAUUAUCAAAACCUACUCUUUUUCGUUGAAGUUUUAAAUUUAAAUAUAAUUAUAAUAAAAUUUAUAAUUAUAGAUAUUUUAAAUUAAAUUAUAAAAUAAGGAAAAUAUUUAAAUGGUUAUAAUUUAUGGAUAUUAUGAGAAAGUCCCAACAUAAAAAUGAAAAUAUUAUUUUGAGAUAGUGAAUGAGAAUAUAACAAAUGUAAACAUUAGCAGUCACUUAUUCAUUGCAUUCAUGAUUUUUGUGUAUAAAUAAGGGGUGAGAUUAAAGAAAAUAGUUUUCAUAUGAAAAUUACCUUUAUAGUCAUUAAUUAUAAGUUUGAUGGAUAUACUUGAAAAAAAAUAAUAUUAAUGUGAAUACCUAUUUUUCUUAAUAUUAUUUAUAAAUAAAUGUUUUAAUUUAAUAAUAACUCAUUGUUGUUUUGGAGUAUUAAGUGGUAUUCUCGCCCUCUGCGAAAUCUAUUAAUUAAUCGCUUAAUAAUUUUGAGUUGUUAUUAAUGUAAGAUUACAGAGAGUUAGAGCUUAUACAAAAUUAUAAAUUUUUCAUUUAUGAUAAACACUUCAAUUAAUUUAUCUAAAUAAUUAAUUUAAUAGUAUUAAGCUAUUUAUAAUAUUGAACUUAUAUUAAUGGAUGCUACGAUUAUUUGUAAGCUUCUAAGAAAAAUAUUUGAGUGCUAUUUCCUUCGCUCACAAAUGAAAAAGACUAAUUCAUAAUAAAUUUUUAAAAAAUUAUAAUAAUUUGUUACACACUUUUUAGAUCACGAUGCUUUUUUUAUAUAUUAAUAUUAAAUGACUUAAAUAUUAAUAAGAGUGUUUAUGAAAAAUAAAAAUUAAUGUUAUUUUGAAAAUUUUAACUCUAAAACGAUAUGUACUGUGAGACGGAAGUAUUAUUUUUAGAGACAAAGGAAAUAAGAAGUUCCAACCUGUGAAACUGAUUUGUCGAGAACUCUUACUUUCUUUGCAGGGUUUAUGAUCAAAUGCCUGAGCCAAGGUGGGUGAUUUCGAUGGGAAGCUGUGCCAAUGGAGGUGGCUAUUACCAUUACUCAUACUCUGUGGUUCGCGGAUGUGACCG
rnacentral:lncRNA from 1 species